GCUUGCUCUCGGGUGACGAGCGGCGGACGGGUGAGUAAUGUCUGGGAAACUGCCUGAUGGAGGGGGAUAACUACUGGAAACGGUAGCUAAUACCGCAUAAUGUCGCAAGACCAAAGUGGGGGACCUUCGGGCCUCAUGCCAUCAGAUGUGCCCAGAUGGGAUUAGCUAGUAGGUGGGGUAACGGCUCACCUAGGCGACGAUCCCUAGCUGGUCUGAGAGGAUGACCAGCCACACUGGAACUGAGACACGGUCCAGACUCCUACGGGAGGCAGCAGUGGGGAAUAUUGCACAAUGGGCGCAAGCCUGAUGCAGCCAUGCCGCGUGUGUGAAGAAGGCCUUCGGGUUGUAAAGCACUUUCAGCGGGGAGGAAGGCGUUAAGGUUAAUAACCUUGUCGAUUGACGUUACCCGCAGAAGAAACACCGGCUAACUCCGUGCCAGCAGCCGCGGUAAUACGGAGGGUGCAAGCGUUAAUCGGAAUUACUGGGCGUAAAGCGCACGCAGGCGGUCUGUCAAGUCGGAUGUGAAAUCCCCGGGCUCAACCUGGGAACUGCAUUCGAAACUGGCAGGCUAGAGUCUUGUAGAGGGGGGUAGAAAUCCAUGGGUAGCG
rnacentral:rRNA from 1 species